ACGAGGGCUGCCCUUCCGGACACACAUGCGCUCUGGCCACGCUCGGGAGAUGGACGGCUGUGGCGUUUGGGGCCGGGUCUGGGGUGGCUGGCGGCGGGGCCUGAGGGUCUGCGCAGCGCCCAAGGACGCAGGCUUUGUCACCAGGGCCCGGCAUCAGCUGCAACCUAGAGGCUCCAGCAAACGGCUGGGGCCCCUCGGGGACCAGCCCUUCCUGGGGCUGCUGCAGCCAAAGAACCUCAGUCGGGAGGAGUUGGUUGAGGUGCUGCGGGCAGCCGUGGUGGACCAGAAAGGACCUCUAGUGACACUGAAUAAGCCACAGGGUCUGCCAGUAACAGGAAAACCAGAAGAGCUGACAUUGCUCUCAGUGCUGCCAGAGCUGAGCCAGUCCCUGGGGCUUGGGAAGCAGGAGCUCCAAGUUGUCCGAGCACCUGGGAAGGAGACUUCUGGGCUUGUGCUCCUUUCCAGUUGUCCCCAGACAGCAAGUCGCCUCCAGAAAUUCUUCGCCCACUCAUGGAGAGCCCAGAGACCCACAGCCACCUAUUGUGCUGUCACCGAUGGGAUCCCAGCUAUUUCUGAGGGGAAGAUCCAAGCAGCUUUGAAACUGGAACAUACUGAUGCAGUCAAUCUUGUAGUUCCAGUGAAGAACCCCUCCCGAAAGGACAUCCUAGAAGGUGUCAAGAAGACCCUCAGCCACUUCCGUGUGGUGGCCACAAGCUCUGGCUGUGCCCUGGUCCAGCUGCAGCCAGUGACAGUGUUCCCCAGUCAGCUGCAAGUGCACAUGGUACUACAGCUCUGUCCUGUGCUCGGGGACCACAUGUACGCUGCUCGCGUGGGCACUGUCCUGGGCCAGCGCUUUCUGCUGCCAGCUGAGAGCACCAAACCCCAAAAACAGGUCCUGGCUGAAGCUCUCCUCAGUCGCCUCCGCCUGACCCCCGCCCAGGCCGCCCAGCUGCCCUUGCACCUCCACCUGCAUCGUCUCUGCCUCCCAGGCAUGAGGCCCAGGGACGCCCCUGUCGAGCUCCUGGCACCUCUGCCCCCUUAUUUCUCCAGGACCCUACAAUGUCUGGGGCUGCACCAACAAUAGUCCCCCCUCUCCUCUGUUCCUGACCCCUCACUGAAAAGCAAGGGGUGCUGCAGCCAGGCCCAAGGAGAAUGAGUUGGUUGAAUCUGUGGAUGUGGAGCCUGUGGACAAGGAGGGCUGACUAAUUAUGAAGUGACACCCACAUAACCCCCACUUGGUACGGGAAAUAGAAGCCCCCUCUUCUUUCUUGUAGAGCAGCAAUUCUCAAUGCUGGCCCCACAGCCCCUUCAGGAAACUGAAGUCCCCAUGCCGCCCCCUGACUCUGCACCCCAAAGAUUCUGGUUUACUGGGCCUAGAGUGGAGACCUUGGCACCAAUGGCAACUUUCUAAAAGUUCCCGAAGGGGUUCUACUAUUCUAGGUUGGAAACCACCGGCCUGACUUGGGAGAAUUCUUUGCUUUUCUUUUUUUAACCACAUACAUAGGCAUCCCUAAACAAUAUACGUAUUUCAUUUCA